UACGGGGGGGGCGAGCGUUGUUCGGAAUUACUGGGCGUAAAGGGCGCGUAGGCGGUUUGCUAAGUUAGAUGUGAAAACUCUGGGCUCAACCCAGAGCCUGCAUCUAAAACUGGCAGGCUAGAGUUCUGGAGAGGGAUGCGGAAUUCCAGGUGUAGCGGUGAAAUGCGUAGAUAUCUGGAGGAACACCGGUGGCGAAGGCGGCAUCCUGGACCGACACUGACACUGAGGAGCGAAAGCCAGGGGAGCAAACGGG
rnacentral:rRNA from 1 species